AGAGAACUUUAUUGAAUAACCACUCAACUGAUUACAAUAAGCUCUCUUGGCCUCUCCAGCUCUACCGGAUCCCAAUCCCUCCCCUUUGAGGGUCCUCUUAUAGAGGAGCAACCUCCAGUUACAAGUCCCUCACGAACUCAACUUCUCAUGCACAAGAUAAGGAUGAAUUCUAGAUAAGAUAGGAAAACCCCCAUUCCCGCAGGAUUCUGCGCAAUCAGAUAAAACCGCCAAGUUCAUGCCUCAAACGAACUCGGAUUACCAUAAAACUAGAUUCGUUGGAUUCAGGACGAAAAAUGCUUCCAGAUGGCACCUUUUCCACUUUGAACGGACUUCUGUAGAGUUCCCGAAAUGCCCCUCAAAGUGAAAAUGCGUGGAAACAGCGUUACAGCCACGUCCUCUAACCAUACACGUUUUCAGUUAUAAAAACGUGUUAAAACGUGUCCCUUGCCUUCUGGAGACUUAUGCCACGUUCCUCCAUCAGUGGCACACAUUUCCACGCAUCCCAAUUUCCCGGAUUCAGUCCAUGCUUCGAGAUAAGCCCACAACGCUGAAUCAGUCUCGUUGCAGCAGCUUUUCUCCUAAUGAUGAACCAACAUGUAUUCUCAACAAUACACGCCUUGGAGCACGUCCCACGGCCCCAUGCUCUUGGGUAUUCCACCUACAUCUUGCACACAUUUCCCUAGGUGAUCCUAGGGCCCAGAUUUGGUCUCCAAGUUGCCCAAAUCUCUAGAGAGCACCGUCAAAC
rnacentral:lncRNA from 1 species